rnacentral:rRNA from 1 species
GACGAACCGUGCGAACGUUGUUCGGAAUCACUGGGCUUAAAGGGCGCGUAGGCGGGCUGACAAGUCUGGGGUGAAAUGCCGCGGCUCAACCGUGGAACUGCCUUAGAUACUGUCGGCCUCGAGGAAGGUAGGGGCAUGCGGAACUGUAGGUGGAGCGGUGAAAUGCGUUGAUAUCUACAGGAACUCCGGUGGCGAAAGCGGCGUGCUGGACCUUUUCUGACGCUGAGGCGCGAAAGCUAGGGGAGCAAUCGGG